rnacentral:ncRNA from 1 species
UUCAAAGCUGUGAACAAGACAUGACUUUAAGCAAACCUGGUCAUAGAGAGUAUCAAAUUUGGUGAAAUGAUAACGAUGGUCCUUAGAGCUAUCCCUUGUGAGCCAAUCAUUUGAAAUAAUAGUAAAAUGAUUCGUCCUUCGCGUUAAGAAGUUCUAAGUGGCAACAAAGAUGUUGCAAACUAAGUGGUACCGCGGAAUAAUAUUAGAUUUCGUCUUAGAU